ACUCACUCCUGUAAAAUAUUCAGUGGCAAGGCUGAGAGAGCACAAGACAUGCGGGUCAGCACUCCUGCAUCUUCUGCCUUUCUUUCUCCCACAGUCCCAGGCUUCUUGGGGCUGCAAGUCCAUUUUUAAUGCUUGAGCCGACCGUGUUCUGUGUGGUGAUUAAGACCAGACUUUGGAUUUUAACAUGGAGGUUCCACCCCGAACAAAGAAACCAAAAUGAGGAGGUCAUUCAGCCUCCCUUGGACACUGUCCACCCCAUCCUUGUCUGAGCCCUCUGGGGGAGGUGGAUACCCACCUGCAAGAGAAGAUGGCCUGCUCUGAUGGUGCAAAUGGAGAAGGAUUUGGGAGCUUUCAUCAGCAGAUCAUGUAUUCUUAAUGCACAUAUCGGAAACAGUCUUCUGAGUGAACCCCACCCCAGGCCAGUUCUUCCUCAUCUCACUUCUGAGUGGAUAAUGCAGGCUGACCUUCAGGAACUGGUUCUAAUCUGGCUCAUCAGUUCUCAAGAGACUUCAUUUCCACAGUCCUUGGGUUGGUAACUCCCUGGCACACCAGUCUGUACACAACAGAAAUCAAGAUGUGGCAAACUGCAGGGACCUCUCUAGGAGAAGCAAUACCACCUUCACCCCUGCUCCCUGCUGAGUUCCAGCUGAGGACAGUGGCAUUCAGGAGGACACUUGAGAUACAUCAGCCUGGCCUCUGUUUCAGGAAGCUUGAACACGUACCUGGGUCACUCAGAAUAACCAGAGAGCUGUGUCCAAGACCAUGCCUGGAAGGAUAGUUUUCAAACAGAAUUCAUUGUGUUGUAAUCUCUAUUCAGGCUAUUUUCAUGGUGAGAGGAAUCACCUCAGGAAAUUUUCACAAGUUUGGCUGUAAGGACAUGCAAAAGUAACUGCAGGAUAUGUACAAGUCUGCUUAUCACAAGAUUUCUCUCCCUCCCUCCAUCCCCCAUCUAUCUUUCUCUUUCAUAAUAGCCCCCCGAGAGAUGUCUUUAUAGAAUCUUAGUAUCAAGAUAGGAUGCCAUUUUCUCGAGUUACUGACUUAUUUUUAUUUCAUGGAUAUUUCAAAUUAUAUUUUCUAUUUUGUGUUGCUUGAUAAAGCUUACAUCAAAAUUUGUGAUUAGUCCACAAUAACUUUUACUAAAAUGUCAAUUCAUCCAAUCCAGGAUGACUCCAUCUUUGUUCUGUGCAAAGAAGUUACUCAUUAUAAAGUGGGUUGUUGUUGUUGGUGGUGGUGGGGUGUGUGUGUGUGUGUGUGUGUGUGAAGAACUAAUUUCUUACCUCCUCUGGGACAUUGGAGCCUCACCAAAGAGUUCAUGCAGUCAGGCUAAAUAUGCACAUUGUUUUCCAAUCACAAACCCUCCUUUUCCACUCUUUUAUUUGAUUCCAUACAACAUUCUUCAGGGUAGUUUAUGCCACCUUCUCAGGACCCCACAAAACUGACCAUUUCAGCCAUUUAAAAUUUCC
rnacentral:lncRNA from 1 species